AAAUUUUUAUUCUAGAUUACAUUAAACUUUUUUACCUAUACAUGAAAAAAAAAAUCAAUUAAAUUUUAAGUCAGUAUAAAAAAUUUUUAAUAUAUAAAAUUAUAAAAAGUAAAAAAAUAAACUGAUUAAUUAAGUGCCAGCAAUCGCGGUCAAACUUAAAGUAAAAUUAAUUUAACGGAAAAUGUAGUUAAAUAAAAGAACAGAGAAAAAAAAAAUUAAUAAGAAGUUAAAUUCAAAUUAAAAAAAAACUCAAAAAAUUUUUGAAGCUACAAAAUUUUUUAAAAAAAAAGGAUUUGAUACCCUUCUAUAAAAUAAUAAAAUUUAUCCAGGGUAAUAAUAACACAUUAUAAACUCAAAGAAUAUGGCAGCACAAGCAAAAUUUAGGGAUACUUGAUUAUUUAAAUUUUGAUAAUCCACAAAGACCUUACUUAAUAACUUAUUAAUUUCUAUAUCUCCGUUUUUAGAAAUUAAUAAAAAUUAAUAUAUUUAUUCUAAAUAUAUUUAAAUACAAAUUCAGGUCAAGACAGAAUUUAUUAAGAACAAUUGAGUAUCAUUGUAAAUAAAGGAAUAAAAAAAUUUUUAAAAAAAUAAUAUUAGAGAACUUAAAAGUAAUAUUUUUUUAUAAAAAAUAUAUGAAUAUAAUAUGCCUGUGUGUACAAAUCGCCCGUCACUCUCAACAAAAAUUGAGAUAAGUCGAAACAUAGUAAGUGUAUCGGAAGAUGUACUUAGAUUAA
rnacentral:ncRNA from 1 species